rnacentral:rRNA from 1 species
GACGAACGCUGGCGGCGUGCCUAAUACAUGCAAGUCGAACGAGAGCAACCGGUGCUUGCACUGGUCAAUCUAGUGGCGAACGGGUGAGUAACACGUGGGUAACCUGCCCAUCAGAGGGGGAUAACAUCCGGAAACGGAUGCUAAAACCGCAUAGGUCUUCGAACCGCAUGGUUUGAAGAGGAAAAGAGGCGCAAGCUUCUGCUGAUGGAUGGACCCGCGGUGCAUUAGCUAGUUGGUGAGGUAACGGCUCACCAAGGCCGUGAUGCAUAGCCGACCUGAGAGGGUGAUCGGCCACAUUGGGACUGAGACACGGCCCAAACUCCUACGGGAGGCAGCAGUAGGGAAUCUUCCGCAAUGGACGCAAGUCUGACGGAGCAACGCGGCGUGAGUGAAGAAGGUUUUCGGAUCGUAAAACUCUGUUGUUAGAGAAGAACAAGUGCUAGAGUAACUGUUAGCGCCUUGACGGUAUCUAACCAGAAAGCCACGGCUAACUACGUG